CACCGGCAGCUCAAGUGGUAGCUGUUUUUAUUGGGCCUAAAGCGUUCGUAGCCGGUUUGAUAAGUCUUUGGUGAAAGCUUGUAGCUUAACUAUAAGAAUUGCUGAAGAUACUGUCAGACUUGAAGUCGGGAGAGGUUAGAGGUACUACCGGGGUAGGGGUGAAAUCCUAUAAUCCUGGGAGGACCACCUGUGGCGAAGGCGUCUAACUGGAACGAUCUUGACGGUGAGUAACGAAAGCCAGGGGCGCGAACCGG
rnacentral:rRNA from 1 species